rnacentral:tRNA from 1 species
GUCUUUGUAGUAUAUAUAAUACCCUGGUCUUGUAAACCAAAAAAGGAGACCACAUCCCUCCCUAAG